AGUAUUUCAUAGGAUUUCCUCUCUGUUCUCCCUUAGUAUUUGGGAAAGUUCUUCCUGAAAACUCCCUGCCUAAUUCAAGACAGAUGCAAGACAGGACCAAAGGAAGGGACUCUAUCCAGCCUGGGACGGGCGGAAAAAGGGAAGGAGAGUGAGACUCUCUGGAAGCAACACGGUGGUGGCCCCAGGGUUGGGGAGAGGGGGCCCCAGGAAAAGUGAGGUUCGGGCAGAUCCCCUGUAUUCAGAGCUGCCCCUUCUCAGCCCUCCACCUCUGCAGGGCCUGUGAUUUAGUCCACCCUGGGAUGAGUUUUACACCCACCAACAUUAAGAGCUGAAGAUAGUUUUGAAACCAGGCAUGCCUCAGCUGGGUGAAGUGGUUCACAACUGUAACCCCAGUACUGUAGGAGGCCAGGGUGGGAGGACUGCUUGAGCCCAGGAGUUUGAGGCCAGCCUGGGCAACAUAGGGAGACCCCAUCUCUACAAAAAGUUUAAAAAUCAGCCAGGUGUGAUGAUGCCUGCCUAUCAUCCCAGCUGGUCAGCAGGCUGAGCUGGUAGGAUCGCUUGAGCCUGGGAGGUCAAGGCUGCAGUGAGCCCUGGUCACGCCACUACCCUUCAGCCUGAAUGACAGAGCAAGACCCUGCCUCAGAAACAAAAAACCCACUGGCAUUCUUGAGAAUCAGGCCCCAGACCAGGAGAUCCCCGAGGGGCAUAUUACUAUAGAGGCCGGGGCUUGGGGCCGGGGUCUCCCAGAGGGAUUUCUCCUGGGAAAGCCACUAGGCAGGGUGCAGGGCUCUGCUCCUGGUGCAGCAUGUGCUAGUGUGGCCAGCAUACCCCGCAUCCCUGCCCUGGCAGCUCCACCCAGCCUGUGACUGCCCUGCCUCUGGCCUCCCCACCUCCAGGCCCUGCAGGAAGGAGUGAGGCCAGCAGGACACGGCUUUCCAGGUGAGGCAGUGUGGGGAAUGGGCAGGUCGAAGGGCUAGCUAGGUCAUCUAGGGGAAAAGCCACCCCUGCCUGUCCCACCCCAUGCAUUUCCCAGAGGGGACAGCAAGGCGAGGGCUUCUGAGCUCCGGUGGGGAUCCUGCCCAGAAUGAAGGCAUUGCAGGGGACCUGGGUUUUCAGCCUUGUCCCAGGUUCGGGAGCUGGGAGGGAGCAGAGGGCCCAAACAUCACCCUCCUGUGGUCCCCGGCACCCCCGUGCCUGGUGAGGGUCCUUCUCCUGCCAAGGCUCUGGCUUGAAUUAUUAAACAAAAGUCAGUAAGAAAUUCUCAGGUGCCCUGUAAUUUGGAGGAGUUAUAUUUCCACACGGUUAGUAUCACUGGACCCCAUGCUGUCCUGCUUCUCCCAGCUCACCAGACCAAGGAGGGUCCAUGCUGCACCAGCAGAGCCCCGCAUUCUCUUCAGCGCCCCCACCCCCCCAGAAUUGCUGGCCAGUGGCUUAGGAGGCAACACCCCAACUCAGGGUGUGCUGGUCUUGCUUCUCAAGCCUAGUAGGAGAAGAGCAGAGGGGCACGCAGUGUUUUCAGGGCGGGAGCAGCAGAAAGCAUCCCUUUUCUUUCUCCAAAAGAAAAAAAAAGCACCCUUCCUUGGCAGAGUCAGCGCCUUGCUCAUGUGAGCAGCCCAGGAGCACCAAGCAGAGCCUGGCACACGGUGGUGCUCCAUGACAGUGACAGCCAACAUGUAUGAGUGCUCCCAGGUGCCGGCCCCCUCGCAAGCACUUUGCGUGUCUCUCCCAUCCACCCUCAGAGAUGAGUACUAGCAUUACUCAUCACAUUGCCACGUGGGCACGAGCAUCAGCCUCGUUUUCUAGAUGAGCACACGUGCGUGGAGAAGCUAAGUAGCUUGCCUGAGGUCACACAGCAAAUACGUGGCUGGGUGAGGCAUGGAACCCAGGAAUUCCGGCUACAGAGCCUGUGCUCGGACCUGCUACGUGCUACUUUCCCCACCGAACAGCAGAUGCGCGGAUGGAUGGAUGAGCACUGGGCUCAUUUAGCGGGGAUUCAGCACGUUAGGGCUGGUAUGGUUCAGGUGGACACAGGGGUGUUAGGUGCUCCCCCAAGGGACAGGGUGUCAGGAGGGGUGAGGAAUGAGAGGGUGAAGAUGGAGAAAAAAAAGGGAAGCCCAGGGAAGCUUUCCCCAGGCACACGAGCUUCCCUCACUGCCCUGCACUCAGCCUCUUGCCAACUGUCCAGGGCACC
rnacentral:lncRNA from 1 species